CGAGAAAGCCCGCAAGGGUGAGUAAAGCGGCGCACGGGUGCGUAACACGUGGGUAAUCUGCCCUAGAGUCCGGAAUAACUCGCCGAAAGGCGUGCUAAUGCCGGAUGAGACCACGGGAGCUUCGGCUCCUGCGGGAAAAGGUGGCCUCUGUAUACAAGCUAUCGCUCUAGGAUGAGCCCGCGGCCCAUCAGCUCGUUGGCGGGGUAAUGGCCCACCAAGGCUACGACGGGUAGCUGGUCUGAGAGGACGAUCAGCCACACUGGAACUGAGACACGGUCCAGACUCCUACGGGAGGCAGCAGUGGGGAAUCUUGCGCAAUGGGCGAAAGCCUGACGCAGCAACGCCGCGUGUGUGAUGAAGGUCUUCGGAUCGUAAAGCACUGUCGCGAGGGACG
rnacentral:rRNA from 1 species